GCCGCUAUGGUGAAAUCGGUAGACACGCUGC
rnacentral:tRNA from 3 species